UCUCCAAUCAAGCUCACUACUUCACUGCAGCACUGAUGCCUCAGCGCCAGUGCAUUGUUUGCCACGUACAGCGUGCCUCCCUCCUCGCCUCACAGCCCAGAAACCCAGCACUCUCUAGCAGCAGCACUCCCACUCUCCCCCCUCCUGCGGAUCUUCUCACUGACCUAGACCUCUGGAUUCCCCCCUCCCUUUGCAAUAUUCAAUAAAUCUGUUAAAACUCUG